rnacentral:rRNA from 1 species
UACGUAGGGUGCGAGCGUUGUCCGGAAUUAUUGGGCGUAAAGGGCUCGUAGGCGGUUUGUCGCGUCGGGAGUGAAAACUCAGGGCUUAACCCUGAGCCUGCUUCCGAUACGGGCAGACUAGAGGUAUGCAGGGGAGAACGGAAUUCCUGGUGUAGCGGUGAAAUGCGCAGAUAUCAGGAGGAACACCGGUGGCGAAGGCAGAUCUCUGGGCCGUAACUGACGCUGAGGAGCGAAAGCAUGGGGAGCGAACAGG